UAUACUUUUGCGUAAUUUAUUGAAUAUUCAUAAUGUCGACAUUAACUGCUGACUGACUGACCACUUGGUACCGUUGGUACCGCUGGUGGUUCUUAUGAGCCUGGUGGUGGUGAAUGUGCGGAAACACGUACAAAAUUUACGAGGCAUUGUGCCAACACUUGACAAAUAACACGAUGGGAAGCACUGAUACUAUCGCUUGUGUAUUUGUGCUUCGGCUAAUUUGCUGCUGAGGUCGAAUCCGUUGGAGCCCAAAUGAGUAGCUAGAUUAAUAAUCAUACCAUAAAAAUUGCAUUGCGCAUACGCCGUGUUUGCAUUUUUCCUAUCUACCGACCAAGUCGAUUGGAAAACAACAGGGGACAGCGUUCGAUGGCGAUGAUAAUGAGAAUGAUUUGUUGUAUUUGGCUCUUCACACGCGCUGAAAAGUAUUCAAAUGCUAAUGAAACCGGCAGUCAGACAAUGAGGCGUGUCUUUGAUCCAAUAAGGUAUAUACAUACAUCGUCUGCAUAUAUACAUAUAUAUGUUUAUGUAUAUAUAUGUGUAUAAGCAAAUUUAUGCCAAAACGUGGGAAUCUUUUGUGCUUAUCAACAGCAAGUCUUGUCGUCUUUAUAUGGAUUUCAGCCAAGUUUAGAACAUCAUCAUUUAAAUAAAGGUGUUGGUCCAAGCUCUGUGUCUAUGCUAAUUUGUGGAAAAGUUGAUUUAGUUCCGGUGUUGGG